rnacentral:rRNA from 1 species
UACGGGGGGAGCAAGCGUUGUUCGGAUUUACUGGGCGUAAAGAGCUCGUAGGCGGUUGGGUAAGUCGGGUGUGAAAACUCCAGGCUCAACUUGGAGAUGCCACCCGAUACUGCUCUGACUUGAGUCCGGUAGGGGAGUGGGGAAUUCCUGGUGUAGCGGUGAAAUGCGCAGAUAUCAGGAGGAACACCAGUGGCGAAGGCGGCACUCUGGGCCGGUACUGACGCUGAGGAGCGAAAGCGUGGGGAGCGAACAGG